UUUAACCCAUAUAUUAAUGGGCCAAUAAGGAUUUCAGCCCACUAAAUACAAUUAUUGGCCAUCUUGUGUUAAGCCUAGUUAUGUUUACACUCCAUUAGGACCGGUACACCUUUUGCCCAUACGGUUUAAUACGUACCAGUAGACCACUAAUUUUGUGUAAGUAACACAUUUUGAUACGAUGCAUUCUUUAACAUUUCUGUUAAUAUUUAAUAGAAGACAAAUUACAAAAACAAACAUUACAACCAGGAACAUAAGCCAAAUGGAUCCCUGUAAAGAUAAAAAGAAAUUACAAGCAAGCCCCAAACACCCCCAGACAUGGCCGCUCGUCCGCUCGCUUUUUGCAGGUCCACCACAACCCAUCUUCCAUAGUGCACGACUCAACUCUGGUGACCUCGGUGGCAAUUUAUAUAGUAUCCAAAUAUCAUAGGGGAACAUGGUCAUCCAGAUUUGCGAUGCAACAACAUACCAGUAGCCUACAAAAAAUGGUCCUUUAGAAUCCAAUAACACCAAAUUAUAAUCAUCACUAGUGAUCAUAAUUUAAACAGAGUAGUGUACACAUAAAAAAGUUGCAUAUAAGUAUUUUUACUAAAGUUAGGGCGACAUAACUGAUAUGUAGUGAAACACAGAUAUGGUUGUGUCAAGGAUAAAAAUAAAAUUACGUUAGAAUUUGUUCACUAAAGUAUGUUUACGAACAGUUUUGUGAUUUAUCACUUACUUUCUCACAAUGGCAUAUUCACUACAGCCCGAACAGUUUUGUGAUUUAUCACUUACUUUCUCACAAUGGCAUAUUAUGGUUAUUCACAAAUGAAAAGGAACCACAAAUUCCGUGGAAACACCUUACAAAUAUUUAUACACUACAUAAGAAUGUAUCCAUCCUUCUGGUUAAUUAUUUUCUUAUUCCAAAUCUCCUCUACAAAUGAUCUUUUUUCUACAGUGAUAUGGAAAAGCUACUGUAUACUUACGGUCCCUCCUAGUAAGUGAAUAAUAUACUAACAUGUCAAUAGGUAAGGUGUUCUUUCCUCCCUUUUCUAAGUAUCACCUACCCUGAAGGAGAUGCUCAAAUAGACGGAAGUUAUAAUCCACAUGUAUGGUCUUCAUUAUCACAUUCUAGCACAGAAUAAAACAUCCGAAGAAAAUAUUCAGAAUGUACAAUCUGCAUGUAUAAAGACAUGUAUGAAUAUCACUGAACCAAGCACAUAUAUGCAGCAAAGUAUAUACUCGUACAUGGAAAAUACCUACAGGACGAAAUAUAGCAUAUUUUCAUAUUGCCAUCAGGGAACACAUAAUGGACACUUCCAAGCAGAAUAAACUAAAAAUAACAAUAUAAUAAUUGAUUUGAUUUUUUAAACAACUUGUUUAUAUCUUAUAGUUGACAGGUUUAUGGCAUAACUGUCUUGGUACUGCACAUUUAUAAUAUUCUUGAGGCAGUCAUCUGAAAAAAGGAAACACUCUUUAUUAAUUUUGCUACUGCCUAGAAGUUGGCACACUGCCAAGACAUUUACUCGAACCUCAAAUGACACCCACAAACUAAUCUGAUGCCAAUUGCCCCAUUUAGCGUACAAAUGAAAAACAGUAAGGAUCAGGAGUAGGCACCAACAGCUUGCAAUACAAUGCGUUUUUAUGAUGCAUGUAUCAGAGGCAGUAAGGAUGAAAAACAAUAAGGAUCAUAAAAUAGCUACAGUAGAAGAGAAAGACAUUUUGGAGGCCGAGCUACAUGAUCUCAGAAUCACAACCCACUAUCUGGCCUUUGCUAUGGGUGCGCCUGUGUCUUUCUUUGUUAUAUGUGAUUAAUCUAUUUGAUAUACAAAGGUGCCAUGUGCAGGUGUGCUCGCUAUUGUUUUCAAACACGAUAACCUUUUUGAAUCACACGAUGAGCAUUUUUAAGUGCACUUCAAACAAUUGAUAUUUUUUAAUACACGAUGUUCUUUAACAUGAGAUGUACAUUUUAAUACAUGACAUACAAUUUAAGAUACAGUGAGCAUUUUUUAAAUACGUGAUGAAUGUUUUUUUUUGAAAAAUACAAUGAAAAUUUACAAAUUACACGACGAAUAUUUUUAAAUAACAUGAUGAAUAAUUGUAAGACACAAUUUAAAUACACAAAAAUUUCUGCAGUAGCUGGAAAGAUGAAUACAAUGCAUUUACUAUGGUCCAUAACGCGAGACUCGAACAUGAAAUUAUUGCUGUUGGCAUGUUUCACCGCCGGGUGUGGUGGGCUGGCCUAGUUCAGGUGGCAUGAAACUGUUCACAUAAGUGGAUUACAAAGACCCCUAAAACGCUGGCAGGUGCGGUGGGCUGGCCUAGUUCAGGUGGCAUGAAACUGUUCACAUAAGUGGAUUACAAAGACCCCUAAAACGCUGGCAGGUGCGGUGGGCUGGCCUAGUUCAGGUGGCAUGAAACUGUUCACAUAAGUGGAUUACAAAGAUCCCUAAAACGCUGGCAGGUGCAACACCUGAGAUACGCCUCUGCGUUAUAGAUCCCAAGACAGCAGAACGAACCAGAUCAAACUAUAAUUUAACUAUAUCCAAAUACGCAUUCAGUCAUCACCAUAAAUGGGGCAUUCCAAAACAAUAUUGCUAUAGUGCAGUGUGGAGUUCCAAUUGAGGUGUGCCCUAAAGUUAAUCAAUUGGACGAACACACUAACAAGGUUCAGCGGCAAGUAGUUGUACAACUACAUCUCUCCCCGUCUCCGUCCCUUAGAACACACUAACAAGGUUCAGCAGCAGACGAUGGACUAGGAGGUGAACGCCUGCAGCCGUACAUUGCACAGUGGCAGCACCGUCCAGCCCUCGAGGAGGGCAAUUCGCUUCCUUGUCGCCUCUAUGAGUGUGCGACGGAGGGGAAGCAGCAGUCCCUACCACGGCGUGACCGGCGAGGGACGACGACGUGAGAGGGGUGGUGGUGGUGGUUGGCGUCCCUGGUUGAGGCUGGGGACUUGCGAACAGAUCCGGGAAGGAUACCCCGGCGACAAGAUCCACGAGCAGAUGGACGGGGAGGAGAGGAUGGGCAUGUCGGCAUGGAUCUGGUGAGAGGCGCGUGGGGAAGGAGCUGAGAUCUAUGGUGCCUCGGUCCGAAAUUGGGGGAUUA
rnacentral:lncRNA from 1 species